UACAGAGGGUGCGAGCGUUGUCCGGAAUCACUGGGCGUAAAGGGCGCGUAGGUGGUGGCUUAAGCGUGCGGUGAAAGCUCGGGGCUCAACUCCGAGUCGGCCGUGCGAACUGGGCUCACUGGAGCAUAGUAGAGGCAGGUGGAAUUCCGGGUGUAGCGGUGGAAUGCGUAGAGAUCCAGAAGAACACCGGUGGCGAAGGCGGCCUGCUGGGCUAUGGCUGACACUGAGGCGCGACAGCGUGGGGAGCAAACAGG
rnacentral:rRNA from 1 species